rnacentral:lncRNA from 1 species
GUAAUCUUUUAGAUAGACCACCAGUAAUAUAUCAUCUUGUCACUUCUAGAAGUCACGCAAGCAGGAUCGUGGGCUGCAGACAUAUUGUGGGGCAGCUAAGGUGAGGACACGCAGGAUGGCUUUUGUUCACAAAAGACAGAUUGAAUAUUGAGAUUACUCACAAAUGACUGAAAAAUGGUGCUGGGUGUCAUUUUUGAAGGCUUCCCAUACCCUGCUUGGACUCAGGCCCAUCCUCAGGGCCUGACCUGACCUGAACUUGGCUUUUCCUGAUUCCAGAGAGGAACCUGGAGCUGGGGCUGUCCUUCUGUUCCCCGUCAGCCUGGACAACCUCUGAGCUCCUGGCAUUUCUGGUCCUGGGGAGCUGCCAGCCUGCACAGUGCCAUGACAGACCAACAGCAAAGAUUCUGCUCAGGACUGUACACGGAGUGACAAAAAACAGAGUGGUGAAAGCCCUGCAAAAAGAAUAUGAAAUGCCCAGCUGAGAAUACGUGGAUUGUAUGUAUUGGUGCCUAUAAAAUAUGAUGAUUGUUUUCUGAUGGAAGAAGAUAAAUGCCGGUUAAAAAAAAAAGUCUUUACGUUGAAACUGCAUCAGAGGACUUCGAAGGGAUUCUAUCUCAGUUUCUCUGCAAUCAUAAAUUGAAGGUAUGGAUACCAUGAGAUGUUAAAUCAAUCCCUUGAGCAAAGGUUGUUGAUAUGUAGAGUGGGGGGUAAUUGUUACUUCUUCAAAGUCGUAAGUUAUUAUGUAUCGAGUCACCAGAGGUAAAAGCAGUUAUGUAAAAAGGAAAAGCAAAGAUAAAAAAAAAGAGAUGAAAGCAAUCAAAGUGCACAUGACCCAUCUCUUGAAACUGAUGG